rnacentral:lncRNA from 1 species
UGCGUUCUGGUUUCAUUUUAGAUAUUCCUCUUUUCCCUUUCUGGGGAAUGGGUCCAUACAUUCUGGCGUUGAUGGAUGUGCAUCUUAUCAGGAUCGAUGGAUGGAUGGAUAGUUUGGACGGUUGCUCAGUAGAUGUUCAUCGUUCGAGUCACAUGAUACAGUGCAGGGUAGUAGCUUGCAAGUUGCUGCAUCUAGCUGGUUCACCUGUAGAAUUUUC